rnacentral:rRNA from 1 species
AACGAACGCUGGCGGCAUGCCUAACACAUGCAAGUCGAACGAGACCUCCGGGUCUAGUGGCGCACGGGUGCGUAACGCGUGGGAACCUGCCCUUAGGUUCGGAAUAACUCCCCGAAAGGGGUGCUAAUACCGGAAAAUGUCUUCGGACACCAGAUUUGUCGCCUUUGGAUGGGCCCGCGUUGGAUUAGCUAGUUGGUAGGGUAAAAGCCUAUCAAGGCGACGAUCCAUAGCUGGUCUGAGAGGAUGAUCAGCCACACUGAGACUGAGACACGGCCCAGACUCCUACGGGAGGCAGCAGUGGGGAAUAUUGGACAAUGGGCGAAAGCCUGAUCCAGCAAUGCCGCGUGAGUGAUGAAGGCCUUAGGGUAGUAAAGCUCUUUUACCCGGGAUGAUAAUGACGGUACCGGGAGAAUAAGCUCCGGCUAACUCCGUG